rnacentral:lncRNA from 1 species
GCGGAGAUUACCGCGGCCAUUGGCGGCCGCAAAGGCUGGUGGUGUGGUGGUCUAUCGCGGCGGCGGCGCUAGGGACUCGAUCGUGGUCUGUUUCCUGAUGCCCUCGAUGGCUUAUGAUCUCGACGAACACAAUACGUUGUGGUCAACACGUCAAGUCGUAACUCGUAACCGACUCGGAAUCUAGCCCUUUGAAGUCGGUUCUUUGGCGGCAGGGACGGACACGGACCCAGCAAAGGCACCUGGGGGCUCCGGGAGAGACGCACACACACCCGUCGCCGGACGGGCGGCCCAGUCUGGGAUUGUUCGCCCCCGGGAGAACGCACGCGAGUUUUCUGCUGGGCCGUUUUUAUUCACACGUUACCUACUUUCUUUUAUAAUAACUUAAUUUUUUUUUGUUUUCUCUUUCACUUUUAGUUUUCUCCUUGAUUUCGUAUCUAUCCUCUCCAAGGUCUCUAUCAGUGGCUAUAGUACAACAUUAGUUUUAAAUAAGAGAAACAAUAAUAGUAUUUAUUACUAGUUGCAAAUAAGCAUAUGAAGUUUUCUUGACUGGAGCGUAGGUCAAUUUCACAAACCUAGAAUAUUUUUCAUGUAAAUCUAUAAUAUUUUUUCUACAAUAGAAAUGAUUUUCUCUUUUCUGACAAUUUGCAAGUGAACAUGAAAUAUUUUUUUAACUAAACAUAGAACAAUGGUUCCCGUGAAUCAGUAAAAUUGAUAUGCUCAACAAAAGAAAAUUAUGGACUCACUAAAAAGUGUUUUAGGUGCUCCAACGAGGACAACUAAAGAGCAUCGACACUUCCAUAUCUUGUGAGAAAACUGAGUAUUCCUAUCACUCUUUGUGCAUUCUGCAGUUCACUUUCUAGAAUUUUUAUCCUAGAGUAUGAUUAAAACCUAGGUUGCAAAACAUUUUUAGAAUAGUCACACUUUUGUCAAUCUAGGCAAAUCCAGCUAAACUAAGGGUAGGCAAUGAGAACAUUGA